rnacentral:lncRNA from 1 species
UGCCUGUGCCUACGAACAACACGGGCUCCCAUCAGUGAGCUCUAGGGUUCACCGCAAGACACAGCUUUUCCAGUAAGUUAGCAACAUGGCAACGAUCAAUAACAAGCGGUUUCUAAGCAUUGGUUGCCGACGGCAACCACGACCAAUGUGCAUUUUGCAAAGAUAAAACACAUGAUACGUAAGAAGCAGAACUUACGUGAAGCAUUUUAGCAACCGAAGCAACAACGUUGCGGUGUGCAGAAGACGACCUGCAUCGCGAAAUCGUGGGUGAUAAGCCAAGGACUGCGUGACCAUCAGUACCAUGACCAGUCAAGAUAGCCGUGCGAUGGUCUUUACAUCCGCUAUAACCCAGAGGAGAAGCAAAAGAUUACACCAUGCUGUACAGCUGCUGGAGCACCUCCCACUUACUCCGGGAUGACAACCGAACCGCUUGGGCCCCUCCCGACAGGAAGAGGGCGGAUACCAAUGCGUGGGGCAACUCUGGAAAGGAACGGCACGCCUACUGUCAGGUGAUUCUGAGAUGCGGUAUGAUGCUUUAAGGACUUCAUGGCGGGUAAGGGUCGGAUAAGGUCUAUGUUGGACGCCGGGCCCGUCCCUCUCAAUGCCCUUGAUAUGUGUAAUAAUACACCUAUG